CAGGCUUCACGUGUGCCGACAGUUAAAAUAUAUUCGCUCUUGAUCUUGAUCUUCCAGUGUAGCUGCAAUCAGUCAGGUAACUUAAUUGGCGCCACUAGAGAUCUCCAAAUGUGCUUUGAGCUUUUAUUUUUUUCAGUCCUGCUAUUAAGUGGUUAGAUUCAUACAGUCUUGUAAUUAUGUGUAUCUCCAAACUCUUCAUGUUUUAUGCCAUGGUAUGAAUAGACUGCAGGACAGCGAAAUUUGACCUGUUGGAUGUUUUUUUUUUCAGAAGCCAUUUGCCAACACCUGCUUGAGUCUUUUGUCCGGUCGGUAUCCAGUUUCCAUCAGUCCAAGUCAGGAGACACGAAAUUGGGACUGAAGCAACACAUUGGCAUUUU
rnacentral:lncRNA from 1 species